UUUAAAUAUAAGCUUAAAAGGGAAUGGGGUGUAAUUCCCCAGCGGUCACGCCGCUGUAAAGAUGUAGUUUUAUGCAAAUAUUGCCACUGUUUUUCGGGAAGGCUGCAAUAAAAUGUUGAUAUCUAAGCCAGAAUACCUGCUUUUAUAUUU
rnacentral:ncRNA from 1 species